GAUGAACGCUAGCGGCAGGCCUAAUACAUGCAAGUCGAGGGGCAGCGGGAGUAGCAAUACUUGCCGGCGACCGGCGCACGGGUGCGUAACACGUAUACAAUCUGCCUUCUACUGGGGGAUAGCCUUUCGAAAGAGAGAUUAAUACCCCAUAAUAAAUUGAAUAGCAUUAUUUGAUUUUGAAAGAUCCGUCGGUAGAAGAUGAGUAUGCGUCUGAUUAGCUAGUUGGUGAGGUAAUGGCUCACCAAGGCUACGAUCAGUAGGGGAUCUGAGAGGACUACCCCCCACACUGGUACUGAGACACGGACCAGACUCUACGGGAGCAGCAGUAAGGAAUAUUGGACAAUGGAGGCAACUCUGAUCCAGCCAUGCCGCGUGCAGGAUGAAGGGCCCCUAUGGGUCGUAAACUGCUUUUAG
rnacentral:rRNA from 1 species